rnacentral:rRNA from 1 species
AUUGAACGCUGGCGGCAGGCCUAACACAUGCAAGUCGAACGAGAGGCGGACGGGUGAGUAAUGUCUGGGAAACUGACUGAUGGAGGGGGCUAACUACUGGAAACGGUAGCUAAUACCGCAUACCAUCGGAUGUGCCCUGAUGGGAUUAGCUAGUAGGUGGGGUAACGGCUAACCUAGGCGACAAUCCCUAGCUGGUCUGAGAGGAUGACCAGCCACACUGGAACUGAGACACGGUCCAGACUCCUACGGGAGGCAGCAGUGGGGAAUAUUGCACAAUGGGCGCAAGCCUGAUGCAGCCAUGCCGCGUGUGUGAAGAAGGCCUUCGGGUUGUAAAGUACUUUCAGCGGGGAGGCGUUACCCACAGAAGAAGCACCGGCUAACUCCGUGCCAGCAGCCGCGGUAAUUC